rnacentral:antisense_RNA from 1 species
GGCAAUGGACAUCCUUUAGCCUCCAGCCCAGAUUCUCCUACCAGCUGCCUGGGUAAUGUCAGUGGAAUUCCUAAAGGGAUGCCUUUAAAAUGUGUGAAUAAGCUUCAAUCAGACUGCCCUUCCCAAAGAAAAUAUAAAUGCUGGAAAAACUACAAAACAGCCACCUGAAGGCACUGGCGAGUGACAAAAGCAAGCAAAUUCUGGAAAAGAGUCAACACUUGGAAGAAGGGAGCUGCACUGGGUACAUGGGGAAGGAACAGUGUCUCUGCAUGAGAAUGGCCAAAGAACAAGAUACAUUUCCCAGUGGAGAACAAUCCUAGAGAGAGGGAAGCAUGGGGCAGAAUAAGGUAUGCUGGCCCCAGGUAGAGACAGGGUUUCACCAUGUUGGCCCGGCUGAUCUUGAACUCCUGACCUCAGGUGAUCUUCCCACCUUGGCUUCUCAAAGUGCUGGGAUUACAAGUGAGCCCUUCCUUGUUUUUAGUAGACCUGCAUGAACAAACCCAUUGAGAUGGCUACAGAAUGAGAAGGGAAACUUUUUCAUGGUGUAACAAGUAAGAAAAAUUGAUUAGGAAGAACUCUGUGGGUAAGGAGAAAGAAAACCUACUAGGAGACCAUUAUUGCAGUGAAG